rnacentral:rRNA from 1 species
UACGUAGGGUGCGAGCGUUAAUCGGAAUUACUGGGCGUAAAGCGUGCGCAGGCGGUUCGUUGUGUCGGCGGUGAAAGCCCCGGGCUCAACCUGGGAAUGGCCGUUGAAACUGGCGAACUGGAGUGUGGCAGAGGGGGGUGGAAUUCCGCGUGUAGCAGUGAAAUGCGUAGAGAUGCGGAGGAACACCGAUGGCGAAGGCAGCCCCCUGGGCUGACACUGACGCUCAGGCACGAAAGCGUGGGGGGCAAACAGG